rnacentral:rRNA from 1 species
UGAGGAAUCUUAGACAAUGGGCGCAAGCCUGAUCUAGCCAUGCCGCGUGAGUGAUGAAGGCCUUAGGGUCGUAAAGCUCUUUCGCCAGGGAUGAUAAUGACAGUACCUGGUAAAGAAACCCCGGCUAACUCCGUGCCAGCAGCCGCGGUAAUACGGAGGGGGUUAGCGUUGUUCGGAAUUACUGGGCGUAAAGCGCGCGUAGGCGGACUGGAAAGUUGGGGGUGAAAUCCCAGGGCUCAACCCUGGAACUGCCUCCAAAACUAUCAGUCUAGAGUUCGAGAGAGGUGAGUGGAAUUCCGAGUGUAGAGGUGAAAUUCGUAGAUAUUCGGAGGAACACCAGUGGCGAAGGCGGCUCACUGGCUCGAUACUGACGCUGAGGUGCGAAAGUGUGGGGAGCAAACAGG